GUUGUAAGCUCUCUGAUAUUGGCGUGGUUAGCACUACCUCAACCCAACUGAUGGCCACACUUUAGAUGUGCAGGAAAUGGAUCUUGGAAACAAAGACCUAAACAGGGAUAAAAUUUACUUGAUUUGUCAAAUAGUCCGUGUCGGCAAGAUGGAUCUUAAGGAUACUGGUGCAAAGAAGUGCACACAGGGACUGAGGAGGCCGUUUGGGGUGGCAGUUAUGGAUAUAACAGACAUCAUCAAGGGGAAAGCAGAGAGUGAUGAAGAAAAGCAGCACUUCAUUCCUUUUCACCCGGUUACAGCUGAGAAUGACUUCCUACACAGCCUGCUGGGCAAAGUCAUAGCCUCCAAGGGGGACAGUGGAGGGCAAGGCCUCUGGGUGACCAUGAAGAUGCUG
rnacentral:sRNA from 1 species